rnacentral:lncRNA from 1 species
UCUCUCCAGCCUCCACCUCUUUAAAUUUUGGGGACAGGGGUUUCACUGGUUAUCUUAGGCUAGCUCAGUAUGUUCUCAGAGCAUUCCUGCUUCAGCCUUCUGAGUGGUGGGAUUCCAGGUGUGUGCCAACAUACUUGACUGGUUCAGGAUUUUAUUUUCCCUAGUUACUAUAUUACAAUAAAUGUUUUGUUGAAUGGCUUCUACUAUUUUUUUUUAAUUUUUAUGCAUUGAAAUUGAAAUAAUAUGCAUUGUUUAGCAUUUGUUUGCAAAGUUGAUCAGAUUAGUCCCAGAUUUGCCACUGAAGACUGAACUGUAGUAGGUUAAUUUGAUAACCCAUCCAAAGACGUAAACUGUUGAUACGCGUGUUUUUUUGAAUCUUACCUGACACCCCACAGGAUAUAAAUGCAUCUGUCUCUGUGAUUACCACAGAAGAACCAUCUUGUAGUGCUUCUGAGAAUGCAGGUCCACUUGAGAUCUGGACUGGUGGACGCGGAGCCUAGACAUUUUAACAGUUUAAUAAGCUUAAAGGAUCUUAUUUUCAUUUUGAAAAAGUCUCUCUUUCUACCAGUCUCCUAGUCUUUAAUCAUUCAGCCUCGUUUAUGCUGCGUCCACUGCACCGUCAGGGCAGCAGGGCCGGUGUUUUAUGUGCAGUGUUGCAGUGUAGAUCACUUCAUAAAGGUGGGGCAAUCGAAGGGCAAAGCUGACGGUUAUCUAAAUCAGGCCAGUGCUAAGAAGGGUAGUCUUGUAUGUUUUGUUGUUGUGCCUUAAAGUCAUUGUAGCCAGCGUUGUCCAUGCAGCUGACUUAUUGAUUGUGAGAAAUGGCUCCAGUUCAGAGGACUUAAUUAGUUUUGCCAAGGAUCUGAGUUUGGUUCUCAGCACCCAGAUGGGACAGCUCAGAACUGCCCAUGAUUUCAGCUGCAGUGGGAUCUAAACUGAUAAUCUCUGGUUUCCAUGGGCACUGAAACAUGCCCUCACACACAAACAUAAUUAAAAGUAAAAAUUUAAAUAUAUGCAUGUGUAAUUGUUUUAAACACUUUAAAGAUUUUCUAUAAAUUACUAGGAAAUAGAAGCAUAAGGAAUGAAACAAAACCAAAGUCUUGCUUACAUUUUGUUACUUUUUUUUUUAAAGACUUUUCUAGGCUAAUAUAAAUGUAUAUUUGCUCUUUACUU